UUAGUUUAGUUUUAUUUCUAUUAUUUUCUAUUUUAUUUUAUUUAUUUCCAUUUUACUUAUUUUAUUUUAUUUGUCUCGAUUUCUACUCGGUUUUUUGUGUAAGGUCCUAGGUUUCAUGUCAAGUGAGUUCGGAACUCGAGGACGAAUCAAAGUGUGUGCAGUUCUUUGCUAGCUGCUGACUGUUGCUCUCCUUAACCUUCACUACACCAUCUCCUAUCCCACACCACACUCCCCUGCACCAAUUCACUCCCAUGCCCCGCAUCUCACUCUCAAGCUGCUGCUCACCCUUUGCCAAUUCGCAGCUCACAACCCAGACCACCACUUCAGCCACCCAACCAAACACACCACCUGCACCACAACCAACCUCCAACCGGAACAUCUGACUCCCACGCAACUCUCCUGCUGCUAAUCCGUAAUUAACCUUCACACCACCAACCGCAUGCAACCAAAACCGUCGCAGCUAUAGCCCACCAAUAACGCCAAAACCACGAACAUCCCAAAUCAGCCCUCGCAUAAUCAAUCGAGCAGCCACCUUCCAUCACUUCCCCUGCUCCCUGUUCUCACCACUAAAUGAAUCCACCUUCGCAAGUUAAACAACAGAUUAGCUGCCACCGCUACUUCCAUCCCCUCGCAGCUCCCCUCAGCGCAACCGCAACACCACCGCACCAAUUUACAGCCACAAGCACACAGCACACCCGCAUCAAUUGGUCCUCCAAUAGACCUUCGCACCGCUCAAUUGCAAAAACAAUUCACACAAACAACAUCCAUAAAAUUAGAGCAAAUUUCAAAUUCAUGAGGUUCGGGCAAACUAUUAAGAGUUCGAUCGAAGUGCCAAAAAGUGUUAAAAUGGUUAAGAACGUAGGGAAAAUACUGGUUGAUCAGGCUGAUUGGCAAAAAAUGUCAAUCAGGGGGGUAGUUUUGUAAAUUGCUCGGUAUGGUAAGGGUUAAAUCGUAACAUUAGGGAGACGUUAACAUUUGCUCAAAAUUUUUGACUAACGUCUUCCAUGGUCAAAGCAGCCUGUUUUUUAAACACCGUUAACAUCACUUUCCCAAUUUUGAUGAACAAACCCUUAUUUGUGAUGAACAAACCCUUAUUUUAUAUUUGGAGACAAUAAGGGUUCUUGCACUUUAAUCCGACAAAUUUUGUAUUAAUAACAGCAACUAUAUGUUCGAAGAACUCAUACCAUGCGAUUCGCUGGCGAAUUUAACUUAUACUACCAUCAAGGGCGCGUACUGAAUUGGCUUAGUGUUAUCACUGUUUUAUAUCACUGGUUCAUUGGUUAUAUUGGUUCGAAGGCUAAUUCUAGUAGGAUGAAAGACCUAAACUGUGAUAGUGCAGCAGUGUUCAAGGACGACAAAUUAAGUAUUGGUGGGCAAGUGAAGUCGAAAGGUGAAGUGUUGAAGGAGUAUUUUCUUGUUCGGUCGAAGCCUCCAAAUUUAAAUUGUCGGGUUGAGAGAUUUGGUAGAAUAUGUCAAACGUUUGAUUCCUGUCGUAGACAAUGGGUCUCCGAAAUGGGUUUUGGUGGGUUGUUGUACUUGUCAAGUGGUAUGCACCUUCCAAGGAAGCUGGGUUAUUGGUUAAUGACCCGGAUUGAUCCGUUCAAUAAGAUGGUUAUUACGCCGGAUGGAAGGGUUUUACGGUUGUCUAGAAACUAAGUUCAUUGGAUUCUUGGCAUUCCGAAUGGAUCAAAGGCUGUUCCAAGUUAUAGAACAUUGAACAAGGUUCAGCGGGAGAAGGCUAAAGAAAUUACUUCUAAGUAUGGUCAAACUCGUAAGUAUAGUUCCAACAGUGGAGACUCAAGGGUGCAUAAGUCUCUUGGAAUUCCGAUCCAUCCUCAGUUACUGGAGAGGUUGGAGAGCCAUUGGGAAGCUUAAGACGAGGAAGAAUUCAAGACACUGUUCCUUAUGUUAUCUUUGGAAAUGGUUCUAUGUCCAAAAUUUUCACCUAGGUUGUCGUCUGAUCUUGUUUCAGCUCUGACAUGUGCUAUGGAAGCUCCGGAUUACGAUUGGUGUACGUUGGUUCUAACAAAUCUUCUUGCAACUGUCCGUUCAUUCGGCCGAAGGUUUUAUUCUAAUGGCCAUGCUGGUGGAUGUGGAGGCUGCACACUGUUUGCCUUGAUUUUCUAUUUAGACCGACUUGAUAGAGAGGCUGUAGACUGGGGUGCCUUCCCAAGGUUGAAGGCAUGGAACAUAAAACAAAUUGUUCUUGCAAGUAAGGAAUACCGGUUACCGGCAGGGGGUGAUUACGGAAAGACAGGGACUCUGGAUGUUGCUUAGGGGGAGGUUCAUCCACGAUAGGCAAGAGAUACUCAUGAACCUACAAAGGUACAAGAAUCCGCCCAUUGUAGAUGGAUGCUACUGAAACAAUUAUUGAAAUGUAUCAACAUUUUCCCCGGUGUUUUUUUUGAUAGGUUGAGCUGCAAGAUGAUACGGAGUGUUUGGAAUCCAGAUGGAGGCGAGGCGCUUUCAGAUCAAAGAUUCCACCAAACACAGAUGAGAACAAUUCUGUUGUUGGAAAACCUGACAUUGAUGAGCUUCCCCGCACGCUAUUUCAAACAGCACCAAAUGGAUUUGUUACUUCACAUGGGUAGAGACUUUUAGAAGAAAAGUGCAGUUUUGUUUCUAAAUAUGCUUUAUAACUCUUUAGAAGGAUGAAAUCUCUGUUAUUGAGUGCUGGAUGUCCAUUACUGGGUGAGGUUCUGUCGUUUCGAGGUGGUGUGUGUGAACCGCGAGAAUUGUUGCUGCCUUCACUGGUCAAUUUUCUUAAAAAUCCUUGCGCGUGUGUUAGCAGUGGUAUCUAAGGUGAGUUUUUUUUAGCUAAUUCCUGCUUAACCAGUUAUGCACUUUACUUGUUACUAAAUCUCAGGUUGUGUUAAUGCAGGUUUUCGUUCCUAAUGCGGAUAGUUGUGAUCCGGUUUUUGUCCGAAUGUGUGUUGCCUUGAAAUCUUCUUCACCUCCGCGGCUUAUGCUACUUCAUGGUGAUUCAAUUUCACCAACAAUCAAUAUUGAUAACACACUGCUCGGAUCGACUCCAUGAUGAUAUCUUCAAAAGCUGCAUGAAGGGUCUAUGUGACUCAAAGUUGUCAAGGAACAUGCUGUUGGUGGAGAGGAGUCGUGGAAGAAUUUAAAAUGUCAGCAAUGUAUUCGUCUGUGGCUACUAUCCAUAUAACAAGGGCAAGUCCAGGCCUAACUCAUUAAUGUAUUCUUCGACAUUCAUUUCAUUGACUUAGUUUGGAUUUACCAAUCGCAGCCCCAACGGAUGUAUAACUGAAGUUUCUUAACAAGCUACAACGUGAAACGCAUUUCACUUUUGUUU